GCAGAGUAAAUGGGGAAAUUAUCUAUACGUUCAAACAUGGUAUCCAUAUAUCUAUAUCUAUAUAUAAAUAUAUUCAUAGUUUUGGAUGUUUAUCAACGUACGAACCUGUCAUUUUAAGUAUGGAAAAAAUAUAUCACAAUCAUAAGAAAAUUGUAAUCUUUAAGUUUCUAA